GACGAACGCUGGCGGCGUGCCUAAUACAUGCAAGUAGAACGCUGAAGGAGGAGCUUGCUUCUCCGGAUGAGUUGCGAACGGGUGAGUAACGCGUAGGUAACCUGCCUGGUAGCGGGGGAUAACUAUUGGAAACGAUAGCUAAUACCGCAUAAGAGUAGAUGUUGCAUGACAUUUGCUUAAAAGGUGCAAUUGCAUCACUACCAGAUGGACCUGCGUUGUAUUAGCUAGUUGGUGGGGUAACGGCUUACCAAGGCGACGAUACAUAGCCGACCUGAGAGGGUGAUCGGCCACACUGGGACUGAGACACGGCCCAGACUCCUACGGGAGGCAGCAGUAGGGAAUCUUCGGCAAUCGACGGAAGUCUGACCGAGCAACGCCGCGUGAGUGAAGAAGGUUUUCGGAUCGUAAAGCUCUGUUGUAAGAGAAGAACGAGUGUGAGAGUGGAAAGUUCACACUGUGACGGUAUCUUACCAGAAAGGGACGGCUAACUACGUG
rnacentral:rRNA from 1 species